GAGUUUGAUCGUGGCUCAGGAUGAACGCUGGCGGCGUGCCUAAUACAUGCAAGUCGAACGAACAGAUAAGGAGCUUGCUCCUUUGACGUUAGCGGCGGACGGGUGAGUAACACGUGGGUAACCUACCUAUAAGACUGGAAUAACUCCGGGAAACCGGGGCUAAUGCCGGAUAACAUGUUGAACCGCAUGGUUCUACAGUGAAAGACGGUCUUGCUGUCACUUAUAGAUGGACCCGCGCCGUAUUAGCUAGUUGGUGGGGUAACGGCCUACCAAGGCGACGAUACGUAGCCGACCUGAGAGGGUGAUCGGCCACACUGGAACUGAGACACGGUCCAGACUCCUACGGGAGGCAGCAGUAGGGAAUCUUCCGCAAUGGGCGAAAGCCUGACGGAGCAACGCCGCGUGAGUGAUGAAGGUCUUCGGAUCGUAAAGCUCUGUUGUUAGGGAAGAACAAAUGUGUAAGUAACUGUGCAUAUCUUGACGGUACCUAACCAGAAAGCCACGGCUAACUACGUGCCAGCAGCCGCCGC
rnacentral:rRNA from 1 species